rnacentral:rRNA from 1 species
CCCUUAGAUGUUCUGGGCUGCACGCGCGCUACACUGAUGCGUUCAACGAGUUUAUGACCUUGCCCGAUAGGGUUGGGUAAUCUUUUUAAAUCGCAUCGUGAUGGGGAUAGAUUAUUGCAAUUAUGGGUCUUCAACGAGGAAUUCCUAGUAAACGCAAGUCAUCAGCUUGCAUUGAUUACGUCCCUGCCCUUUGUACACACCGCCCGUCGCACCUACCGAUUGAAUGGUCCGGUGAAAUCUCGGGACGGCGGCUUGGUCGCUUGCGUCCGACUGCUGAAACUUGAUUAAACCAUAUCAUUUAGAGGAAGGUGAAGUCGUAACA